GACGGAGGAUGCAAGUGUUAUCCGGAAUCACUGGGCGUAAAGCGUCUGUAGGUGGUUCGAAAAGUCCACUGUUAAAAAUUGAGGCUUAACUUCAAAGAUGCCGCGGAAACUUUCAAACUAGAGUAUGGUAGGGGUAGAGGGAAUUUCCAGUGGAGCGGUGAAAUGCGUAGAUAUUGGAAAGACCACCGAUGGCGAAGGCACUCUACUGGGCCACUACUGACACUGAGAGACGAAAGCUAGGGGAGCAAAUGGG
rnacentral:rRNA from 1 species